UGAUAGCUCAGUUGGUAAGAGCAUGGUGCUGAUAAAUGACAAGGUUGAAGGUUCGAUCCCCAUAUGGGACAG